UAUGAGAGUAGCGCACGGGUGCGUAACACGUAUGCAACCUACCUUUAACUGGGGAAUAGCUCACCGAAAGGUGAAUUAACACCGCAUAAAGUCACAGAAGGACAUCCUUUAAUGAUUAAAUCUCCGGAGGUUAAAGAUGGGCAUGCGUCCGAUUAGCUAGUUGGCGGGGUAAUAGCCCACCAAGGCAACGAUCGGUAGGGGGUCUGAGAGGAUGAUCCCCCACACUGGUACUGAGACACGGACCAGACUCCUACGGGAGGCAGCAGUAAGGAAUAUUGGACAAUGGGGGCAACCCUGAUCCAGCCAUGCCGCGUGAAGGAUGAAGGCCCUAUGGGUCGUAAACUUCUUUUACAGGGGACAAAUAUCCAGUUCGUGAACUGGAUUGAUGGUACUCUGAGAAUAAGGGUCGGCUAACUUCGUGCCAGCAGCCGCGGUAAUACGAAGGACCCGAGCGUUAUCCGGAUUUAUUGGGUUUAAAGGGUGCGUAGGCGGACAUGCAAGUCAGUGGUGAAAUCUCUCUGCUCAACAGAGAAACUGCCAUUGAAACUAUGUGUCUUGAGUACAUUUGAGGCGGGCGGAAUGUGUCAUGUAGAGGUGAAAUUCUUAGAUAUGACACAGAACACCAAUUGCGAAGGCAGCUCGCUAAACUGUAACUGACGCUGAGGCACGAAAGCGUGGGGAUCAAACAGGAUUAGAUACCCUGGUAGUCCACGCCCUAAACGAUGAUUACUCGAAGUGUGCGAUACACAG
rnacentral:rRNA from 1 species